GACGAACGCUGGCGGCGUGCUUAACACAUGCAAGUCGAGCGGUAAGGCCCUUUCGGGGGUACACGAGCGGCGAACGGGUGAGUAACACGUGGGUGACCUGCCCUCAGCUCUGGGAUAAGCCUGGGAAACUGGGUCUAAUACCGGAUAUGACUCCAUGACGCAUGUUGUGGGGUGGAAAGCCUUGUGCGGCUGAGGAUGGGCCCGCGGCCUAUCAGCUUGUUGGUGGGGUGAGGCCUACCAAGGCGACGACGGGUAGCCGGCCUGAGAGGGCGACCGGCCACACUGGGACUGAGACACGGCCCAGACUCCGUACGGGAGGCAGCAGGUGGGGAAUCUUGCGCAAGUGGGACGAAAGCCUGACGCAGCGACGCCGCGUGAGGGAUGACGGCCUGG
rnacentral:rRNA from 1 species